rnacentral:rRNA from 1 species
CCUACGGGUGGCAGCAGUGAGGAAUAUUGGUCAAUGGACGAGAGUCUGAACCAGCCAAGUAGCGUGAAGGAUGACUGCCCUAUGGGUUGUAAACUUCUUUUAUAUGGGAAUAAAAUGUUCCACGUGUGGGAUUUUGUAUGUACCAUAUGAAUAAGGAUCGGCUACUCCGUGCCAGCAGCCGCGGUAAUACGGAGGGUCCGAGCGUUAUCCGGAUUUAUUGGGUUUAAAGGGAGCGUAGGUGGAUUGUUAAGGCAGUUGUGAAAGUUUGCGGCUCAACCGUAAAAUUGCAGUUGAUACUGGCAGUCUUGAGUACAGUAGAGGUGGGCGGAAUUCGUGGUGUAGCGGUGAAAUGCUUAGAUAUCACGAAGAACUCCGAUUGCGAAGGCAGUUCACUGGACUGCAACUGACACUGAGGCUCGAAAGUGUGGGUAUCAAACAGGAUUAGAUACCCGAGUAGUC